rnacentral:lncRNA from 1 species
AAGGAAGGUUGGCUUCAGAACUGGGCCAGGGGCACUGCUUUGCUUUUGCUGUUUUGAUCAGCUCUCUGCCUGAAGGAGACAAGAAAAACCAACGGGAACAGCUGGGGAAACUGAGUUACAGAGCUUGUCUGCACUGAGUCAUCAGGAGCAAAUGCUAGAUCAGACCAACAGGUAUUCUACCAUAUAAGAAAUGUGAUGUUCUCUGUACAUUGAAGAGUUGGUCUAAUAUUUGGCCUGGUGGAUGGAGAAAUUGCCUGUCUGCUCCGCUCUGGUUGAAGAAACCAGUCUGACUGUCUCUGAGGCUAUGGAGCAGUCCAUGAAGAAUGAAAGCCCUUGGCCAGGCACAUUGGCUCACACCUGUAAUACCAGCGCUUUGGGAGGCCGAGGCAGGUGGAUCACUUGAAGUCACGAGUUUGACACCAGCAUGGCCAACAUGGUGA